CCUACGGGCGGCAGCAGUGGGGAAUAUUGGACAAUGGGGGGAACCCUGAUCCAGCCAUGCCGCGUGUGUGAAGAAGGCCCUCGGGUUGUAAAGCACUUUCAGUGAGGAAGAACGCCUGGUGGUUAAUACCCAUCAGGAAAGACAUCACUCACAGAAGAAGCACCGGCUAACUCCGUGCCAGCAGCCGCGGUAAUACGGAGGGUGCGAGCGUUAAUCGGAAUUACUGGGCGUAAAGCGCGCGUAGGUGGCUUGAUAAGCCGGUUGUGAAAGCCCCGGGCUCAACCUGGGAACGGCAUCCGGAACUGUCAAGCUAGAGUGCAGGAGAGGAAGGUAGAAUUCCCGGUGUAGCGGUGAAAUGCGUAGAGAUCGGGAGGAAUACCAGUGGCGAAGGCGGCCUUCUGGACUGACACUGACACUGAGGUGCGAAAGCGUGGGUAGCAGACAGGAUUAGAUACCCUAGUAGUC
rnacentral:rRNA from 1 species